GUUCCUUUAGCGCAAUGGAGAGCGCAUUGGAUUUCUAUUUCAAAGAUCGUGGCUUCGAAUCCCACCUGGGAUG